ACAAUUUACAACACCAUACUCAAUUAUAACAUAAUUUGGUCCAUAGUAAGCAUGCAAAACCAUAUAAUAUCAUUUCCAGGAGAUG